UACGGGGGGGGCAAGCGUUGUUCGGAAUUACUGGGCGUAAAGGGCGCGUAGGCGGUUCGCUAAGUUGGAUGUGAAAACUCUGGGCUCAACCCAGAGCCUGCAUCCAAAACUGGCGGGCUAGAGUUCUGGAGGGGGUAGCGGAAUUCCUGGUGUAGCGGUGAAAUGCGCAGAUAUCAGGAAGAACACCCGUGGCUAAGGCGGUUCUCUAGUACGGUACUGACGCUGAGACGCGAAAGCGUGGGGAGCGAACAGG
rnacentral:rRNA from 1 species